rnacentral:rRNA from 1 species
GGUUAGUCGAUCCUAAGAGAUAGGGUAAUUCCGUAUGAAAGUGUGACUUUGCCGGUUUCGGCCGGCAGACGUCGCCGCCUAUCGAAAGGGAAUCCGGUUAAUAUUCCGGAACCAGGUUAAGGACGUGUAUUAUGGCAACAUAAAUGAACUCGGAAACGCCGGCGAGCAUCCUGGGAAGAGUUCUCUUUUCUUUUUAACAAACGGGC